rnacentral:rRNA from 1 species
GACGAACGCUGGCGGCGUGCUUAACACAUGCAAGUCGAACGGUGAUGCUCCAGCUUGCUGGAGUGGAUCAGUGGCGAACGGGUGAGUAACACGUGAGCAACCUGCCCCAGACUCUGGAAUGAGCGCUGGAAACGGCGUCUAAUACUGGAUACGAAACUGGCCCGCAUGGGCAUGGUUUGGAAAGUUUUUCGGUUUGGGAUGGGCUCGCGGCCUAUCAGCUUGUUGGUGAGGUAAUGGCUCACCAAGGCGACGACGGGUAGCCGGCCUGAGAGGGCGACCGGACACACUGGGACUGAGACACGGCCCAGACUCCUACGGGAGGCAGCAGUGGGGAAUAUUGCACAAUGGGCGAAAGCCUGAUGCAGCGACGCCGCGUGAGGGAGGACGGCCUUCGGGUUGUAAACCUCUUUCAGCAGGGAAGAAGCGAAAGUGACGGUACCUGCAGAAGAAGCACCGGCUAACUACGUG